UGGGGAAUAUUGGACAAUGGGCGCAAGCCUGAUCCAGCAAUGCCGCGUGUGUGAAGAAGGCCUGCGGGUUGUAAAGCACUUUAAGCAGGGAGGAGGGGUACUGGCGUGAAUAGCGUUGGUAUCUGACGUUACCUGCAGAAUAAGCACCGGCUAACUUCGUGCCAGCAGCCGCGGUAAUACGAAGGGUGCAAGCGUUAAUCGGAAUUACUGGGCGUAAAGCGCGUGUAGGCGGUUAUUUAAGUCAGAUGUGAAAGCCCCGGGCUCAACCUGGGAAUGGCAUUUGAUACUGGGUAACUGGAAUGUGGUAGAGGGAGGCGGAAUUUCCGGUGUAGCGGUGAAAUGCGUAGAUAUCGGAAAGAACACCAAUGGCGAAGGCAGCCUCCUGGGCCAACAUUGACGC
rnacentral:rRNA from 1 species